rnacentral:tRNA from 1 species
UCUAUUGUGGCAGAUAUUAUGCUCAAAAGUUAAGAUUUUGAUAAACCUAUUUUGGUCUUUAGAU